GAUAUAAGGAUUGCUCAACACAGUCAUUAAGUAAAUUAAUGACUGUGUUGAGCAAUCUUUAUAUUUGAAAUUAAAAUUACUAAUUAACUCAUUACUAAAUUACUACGGUGUAUUUUCGGCUUCCAUAACAAAAAUCUUGGGGUUGCUUAGCAGUUGCUAGGCCAAAUCUUGGUGUUGCUGUAGCUAAGCUAAGCUACCCCCUAGCGCUGCCCAUGACAAACCAGCUUCGUUGUGAUGUGAUGGAAGGAAAACAAGUAUAGACUGUCGGCUGAACCACUUCGAUUAACUCUUUUUGAUGCCCUUGGGGUGUGGUUAUACUCAGAGCUCUACCCAGGUGACAGAACCCACUUUGAGCAGGUUUCAUCUGAGAUCUUGUACCUAUUCACCAUCCAUAUGUCCCGACACUUGCAGAAGGUUGAAAUGCAGAUGAACUGGUAAGACUUUGCUCUUCAACCUGGCAUCUUCUUCAUUGGGACAGGCCGAACUUGCCCUUUCACAAAGCUGGUCAAUGUGAAGUAAGGCUUUGUUCUUCGUCUGUCAUUUAUUUCCCAACUCUUUCUCUCUGCCUUCUGGGUCAUGUUGUCCCCUCUCCCUAAAAAAAAAAAAAAACCUCUGGCUGUAAAUCAGAGCCCCAAUGAGGGCUGAGAGAGGCAAAAUGUGUCAGGUUUGCCCCCGUGCAUGCCAACGCACCGAGUAUAAAUACAUCGGUCACAUGGGGCUCCUGUGUAUCUUCAUCCUUCCGCUAAACAGCUAAUCUGCAGUAUCAUGCGAGGCUGCAGUGCUUACUGAGAAUCUGAGGAAGGAGAAGAGUGCAGCUUGACCAGGAGGACAGCGAUAAUGCUGCGUAAAUGUGUAUAGUGUUGAAGGGCUAUCAGCAGUGUCAACAGGAAGAGCUGACGAGAAGGUUUCUGCUUUAAAUGCUUCAGCACAUAGCGCAUGUAGUAAGCAUUGUACAAGCCUCCCAAAGGCAGAGAUCUAGAGAAAUCAUCACAAAUAUUCUGUAUGUUUGACUCAUUAUUACCUAUAAAUAUGUAUUUUUUUGUUGAUUUAACUAGAUUUAUGAAGCACAUAUCAGCAUUCAUUAUGGGUUUGGAUCCCGGUCUUAGAUUGUUCUGGUGGAAUUUCCAUGUUUUCCCUCAUGCACGCCUGAGUCCUCUCCUGGUGCUCCGGCUUUCUCCCACAGUCCAAAAACACGUUGAUUGCUGUCUCUAAAUUGUCCUUAGGUACGAUGCCGUAGGUGGAUGUUUGUCUGUCCUGUGGUGGACUGUCGACCCGUCCAUGGUGAACACUGCCUCCAGUCCGAUGGCCGCUGGAGAUGGACACCAGCCCAGGCUUGUCUGGGCGCUGUGCUGUUGUGUCCUCCAAGCUUUUUCGUUCGGACGCAUCUGCGUGGCUCUCUGGUUGACCAGAGUGAGAUGACUUCCUACUGCCAGGUAUAAAGAUACAUUUCAAGGCACUGCAGCUCACACAUCUGGAUGCAGCACUCCUUCACACGCCACAACAGACGACCUGAGACUUGUUCUAACCCUGACCCCGUAAUUCCACAUCAUCCGCUCCUGUAGCAAAAUGACAAAUCUGCUUCCUUAUUUGGUGCAAAAAGAAUGGUUUGCAUCCGAUAUUUAAGUACAACAGUUCAUUUCAGUGUGACUAUAAAAAUGAAUAAUAAUUUGCGGUUAACAAUCUCUAUUUACAUUAUUUGACUUUUACAAACCGGACGCUGUUGACGUUCUUUUUCCUGUUUUGCUACGAUUACAGUUGUGGAGCCUGACCUGGCCGGAGCCCGGUGGACCAGAACGGAGCAGAAAAUCGGAGUUGUUCUGUAUUUUGACGGUGAACGACGGAGAGCGUGUCCGUCGACGGUGACGUUCGGAGUAUCCAUGGAGAACGUGUAACUGUUCUCACUAAUCAAAAUCACAGCGCAGUCGCUCCGUUGGUCAGACUAGAGACAUGCGUGGAUGGAACGGAGCAAGCACGGAGGAUACGGGGGUAACCCUGACCUGAUGCUUAUUUCCACCAGUUUUGGGAGCCAAGCACGUGUCAUCAACAGGUGACGUUACACAAUGUGGAAGGUUUGGAUAGUAGCAAGAAGGGCGACUGUCAUCAUUUUAAGGAGUUUAUAGUUCAGUUCUAACUGUUUAUUCUUACAAGCUUUUCUACAUAAUUCUUGAAAUGAAUUAAACAAUUGUGAGCUAAAAGUCUGAACACACCUAGAAAGGACAAUAUGAAA